UACGUAGGGGGCAAGCGUUGUCCGGAAUCAUUGGGCGUAAAGAGCGUGUAGGCGGUCCGGUAAGUCGGCUGUGAAAGUCAGGGGCUCAACCCUUGAAAGCCGGUCGAUACUGCCGGGCUAGAGUCCGGAAGAGGCGAGUGGAAUUCCUGGUGUAGCGGUGAAAUGCGCAGAUAUCAGGAGGAACACCAAUGGCGAAGGCAGCUCGCUGGGACGGUACUGACGCUGAGACGCGAAAGCGUGGGGAGCAAACAGG
rnacentral:rRNA from 1 species